rnacentral:rRNA from 1 species
UACGUAGGGUGCGAGCGUUGUCCGGAAUUACUGGGCGUAAAGAGCUCGUAGGUGGUUUGUCGCGUUGUCCGUGAAAACUCACAACUCAAUUGUGGGCGUGCGGGCGAUACGGGCAGACUGGAGUACUGCAGGGGAGACUGGAAUCCCUGGUGUAGCGGUGGAAUGCGCAGAUAUCAGGAGGAACACCGGUGGCGAAGGCGGGUCUCUGGGCAGUAACUGACGCUGAGGAGCGAAAGCGUGGGGAGCGAACAGG